UGACCAGACUCCUACGGGAGGCAGCAGUGGGGAAUAUUGGGCAAUGGGCGCAAGCCUGACCCAGCAACGCCGCGUGAAGGAAGAAGGCCCUCGGGUUGUAAACUUCUUUUAUCAGGGACGAAACAAAUGACGGUACCUGAUGAAUAAGCCACGGCUAACUACGUGCCAGCAGCCGCGGUAAUACGUAGGUGGCAAGCGUUAUCCGGAUUUACUGGGUGUAAAGGGAGCGCAGGCGGCACGGCAAGCCUGAUGUGAAAGCCCGGGGCCCAACCCCGGGACUGCCCUUGGAACUGCAUGGCUGGAGUGCGGGAGGGGCAGGCGGAAUUCCUGGUGUAGCGGUGAAAUGCGUAGAUAUCAGGAGGAACACCGGUGGCGAAGGCGGCCUGCUGGACUGCGACUGACGUUGAGGCCCGAAAGCGUGGGUAGCAAACAGGAUUAGAUCCCCUCGUA
rnacentral:rRNA from 1 species